AGUUUUACAGGUACCAAAAGUAAAAUAAAAACUUUUAGAGACCAAAAAUAAAAUACAUUAUAUUUUAGGAAUUAAAGCAACACAUAAAAUUUUGUCUCGGGCUUGAUCAAUGAUGCUUUGGGUCUGGGCCUUCAGGGGCAAGUCUUCCAGGCUUACGUGGGCUUUCUUGAAAUUCCAAGAACCUGCUCCUCAGACUAGCAUGGGCUCCAUAACUUAAAUCUUGGGCUGGAAAGCUCUUCAAACUAGUUGGAGUUCCGAGAGGACGGGAUUUACAACUCGAUAAUGAGAGGAACACAAGAAUAAGGCACAGCCAGAAGGAAGAUUUCAGUUUCAGCAUUUUCAAUGCGAGCACUGACUGAUCUUAAACCGUGUUAAGUAAUAUGAUAAAAUGUAUUUAUCUAUGAG
rnacentral:lncRNA from 1 species